rnacentral:rRNA from 1 species
AGAAUCAACGCUGGCGGCGUGCCUAACACAUGCAAGUCGAACGAGAAAGUGGAGCAAUCCAUGAGUAAAGUGGCGCACGGGUGAGUAACACGUGACUAACCUACCUUUUAGUGGGGGAUAACCUAGGGAAACCUGGGCUAAUACCGCAUAAUACCUACGGGUCAAAGCAGCAAUGCGCUGGAAGAGGGGGUCGCGGCCGAUUAGCUAGUUGGCGGGGUAAUGGCCCACCAAGGCAGUGAUCGGUAUCCGGCCUGAGAGGGCGCACGGACACACUGGAACUGAAACACGGUCCAGACUCCUACGGGAGGCAGCAGUGGGGAAUUUUGCGCAAUGGGGGAAACCCUGACGCAGCAACGCCGCGUGGAGGAUGAAGACCCUUGGGUCGUAAACUCCCUUCGAUCGGGACGAUAAUGACGGUACCGGAAGAAGAGCCCGGCUAACUUCGCGCCAGCAGCCGC